rnacentral:lncRNA from 1 species
UUGCCAAACACCUUCAAUCCUGAAGUGCUGUUCAUGAGAGAUGCAGCAGUUCUUCAUGUGUUGCUAAUUCUGCUGUAGAAAUUGGAACAUUUUUGUUGUGAAAAAUGACAUGGUUCAAAAGAGAAAGGCAGGCAUAUGUCUUCAUCCUGUGCUCUAUAAAGGUUCUUACGGGUAAGAGACAUCAGGCUUUCCUUCGCAGAAUUCUCUACUCAGCAACCUACUGACAAG